GGUGAACGCUGGCGGCGUGCUUAAGACAUGCAAGUCGAACGGCAGUCUUCGGACUGUAGCGGCGCACGGGUGAGUAACGCGUAACUGACCUACCCCAAAGUCGCGGAUAACGAUUCGAAAGAAUCGCUAAUACGAGCUGUGCUGUCAGAUUGUGUUCUGCCAGUAAAGAUUCAUUGCUUUGGGAUGGGGUUGCGUUCCAUCAGCUAGUUGGUGGGGUAAAGGCGCACCAAGGCGACGACGGCUAGCCGGCCUGAGAGGGUGGCCGGCCACAGGGGCACUGAGACACGGGUCACACUCCUACGGGAGGCAGCAGUUAGGAAUCUUCCACAAUGGGCGAAAGCCUGAUGGAGCGACGCCGCGUGAGGGAUGAAGGUCUUCGGAUCGUAAACCUCUGAAUCAGGGACGAAAGACACUUCGGUGGGAUGACGCUACCUGAGUAAUAGCACCGGCUAACUCCGUGCCAGCCGCCGCGGUAAAAC
rnacentral:rRNA from 1 species